UGUUUUUCUUUUUUUGAAAACUUUGCUUUGGUAGGCCUUCUAUAUGGGGCCUGCCAGAGAUUAAACUCAACCAAAUUUUAUUUAAUGUCAACCGAUUAUUUAAUAGUCAAAACUUUCAACAACGGAUCUCUUGGUUCUCGCAUCGAUGAAGAACGCAGCGAAAUGCGAUAAGUAAUAUGAAUUGCAGAUAUUCGUGAAUCAUCGAAUCUUUGAACGCACAUUGCGCCCUUUGGUAUUCCAAAGGGCAUGCCUGUUUGAGCGUCAUUUCUCCCUCAAACCCUCGGGUUUGGUGUUGAGCGAUACGCUGGGUUUGCUUGAAAGAAAGGCGGAGUAUAAAYUAAUGGAUAGGUUUUUUCCACUCAUUGGUACAAACUCCAAAACUUCUUCCAAAUUCGACCUCAAAUCAGGUAGGACUACCCGCUGAACUUAAGCAUAUCAAUAAGCGGAGGAAGARGAUCAUUACAGAAUGMAAAGWGCUUAACUGMAUUUUUUCUUACACAUGUGUUUUUCUUUUUUUGAAA
rnacentral:rRNA from 1 species